UCAGCAAACACCUUUACUUCCCGGCUUGCCUUCAGGAAUGCACACACACACACACACACACACACACACACACACGCGCGCACACACACAGAGGCAGAGCUGAUAUCUCAGAGUGUGACCGCUCACAGGCUCUCCAGGGUGCAAUGCCCUGCUUCUUGUGCACAGCUUGUUUGCUUGAGCAGAGAAUGCCCUCUCACAGUGCAUGCACUUAACUAUGGCCGUCUUGCAUACCUCUGUUUCGGGGCAGGUCGCUCUAGAGACUCCUUCACUCACAAUUCCACUGACGACCACUUAAUCACUGUUUGCCUUUGACACUAAGGAGUCACGUGACUUAGGCAUCACGUGGUGUCCGCGGCUGCGCGCCAUGCUCCUCCCAGAGCUGGACUUACCCUCUCUCUGGAAGCCCGCCUGUAGUUGAGGGUCAUGAGUUCUGCGAACCUCUGCUCAUACAGGUGGAGCAGCAGCACCAGGUACAAGCCUGAGUUCAUCAGCUCACUCUGUGCCUGCAUGCAGAAGACAGAGUCCACAAGUUAUCUCUGAAAUAUUCACAAGCUCAGCCACAGGGCGGAAGGUGAGAGAGCUGGAGUUUUGGAGGGACUGUGUGACCACCGGGACCCCACUGUUUGGAGGAAGAGGGGAAUUAGAGUUUUGGAACUGCAGACUGCUCUAAG